CCUGCAAUAUAAAAAGGUUAAGUGUUAGUGUUUUGUUAUAAAUCAACAAAUCAAAGGGGCAAUAUUUACAAACAAAAUUAAUAACAAUACUUAUAUUUUGCGCAGCCAAUGACGUACUAUAACAUUUGACGCUCUAAUUAAACCAGUUAACAAAAAAAAAAACGUGGAGUAAGGACCCAGCAAGUUACCACUACUCGAAACCCUACUAUGAACAAGGAAACUAAUAGGUUGCAACACAUUAACCAAUCAUGCAUGAUUUAACCGUUAGUUAACUUCUUGAGGGCUACAAGGUAUUAGUAUUAUUCUCUCAGAGUUUUUCACACGAUAUCUUGUACAAAACAAAUAGCACAUAUUGACCGAUAUAUACAGUAUAAAGUCAUUCCGGUGGAAGUGAAAGAUAAAACCUAAUGGCACCCAUGUACCCAAUCUCACAAAAUUUUAUUGGGAUAACUAUCAUUCAUACCGUUAUAUCUAUAUCUAUACUACUAUUAUAAAGAGGAAAGAUUUGUAUGUAUGUUUGUAAUGAAUAAACUCAAAAACUACUGCGCCGAUUUCAAAAAUUCUUUCACCAAUGGAAAGCUACAUUCACCCGGAGCAACAUAGGCUAUAUUUAUUGCUAGACUCAACUUUCUGAAAAUAAUUCCCAGGUGAGGGUAUCAAAAAGACUCCGUGAUGGAGAAUCUUAAUCUGAAACUGAAAAUCGUCUUGCAAGUCAUUCUCUACGCAUCGCAAUCGUGUACCAGAAAGUCGAGGAAAGGUAUAUAUAUGUAUAUAAUAAAUUAUAUAAUCAAUUCCUUAUUGUGGAUUGAAGGAAUGCAUGCCGUCAAAGGUAACACCCAAAAUUUUUAAUGAAAGAGAUGGAUCUCUUUCUUGUGUUUAGAAAGUCAUAUGUGAAGGAUAUAUAGAACUGAAACCACUACUAUUACUUGCAUUUCUAUUAAGGUGCUGCUAUUUAGUUUUUAUAAUUAAAAAAAAAAAUAGAAUGUACGAUUCCCCAAAACCAAUAUUCUGUUCAAACUAUUUGACAUGUGUAUCAGUAGAGUUGAUCAAAAGAACAGUAUCGGGAACAAGUUCAAUAACUUCAUACAGACAUAAACAUAUUCAAUAUUUAUACUCAUAUCAUGCAACUAUGAACAUUCGUGUCCGGACAGCCGCACAGUAUUUGAUCAAAUUCACUUGUAUUCAAGUAUCUUAACCCCGAAUGCAGAAGAGUCUAUAAGAAUAGGGCAUAAUAAAUAAUAAACACGCGUGUAGGUACACACGCAAAGAGCAAAUAAUAAUUUAAGUCUGUAUACACAUAAGUACAUACAUACAUACAAAUUAAACAAAGAAACAAUAAAAUGUUGCUGUAACAACAAUUGCAACAAAGCUGGCAUAGCACUCGAUGGCUGCAGAAUUACAACAAGCACGACAAAUUAUAAUUAGAGAGCGCAGAUGGUAGACACAAAGACUGAAUAUCGCAAGCGGAUCAACGCGGCGUUGUUGCAGACAGACGCCAAUAAAUUUAAGUAGUUAAUAAAAAGGCAGAAAAACUAGCUAAUGGCUUCACAGGACAAAGAACAUGGAUGAAAAGUGAGGGAAUGAAAUAUGUGUGUGUUGGAAGGUGGUGUUAAACCAGAAAACAGUUGAUCAAUCUUCACAGUGCUUGGACAAAGGCAAUGCUGACGUAGACGACCAAUGGCAGUUCAUAGGGGCCAAGUGAAUACCGAUAAAGCAUAUCUCUUAAGAAAUCGAAGAGACUUAUGCGCACAAAAAAUAAACAAUAAUGGAAUAUGUGUACUAUAACUAUAGUAUAAUAGACAUAUGAGAGGCGUUCUGAAUGUGAUCUCUGUGAACUCGUUGCCGGGUUAACCUGAAAGCAGUUUCAAAAUAGGUGUGGACCAACAACGCUUUCGGCAUACAAAACACAGCAGACAAUAAACAGACAUACAUUUGCUAUGCAGUUAGAAAUUUUCAAAUAAAUGUCUUAUUACUGCUUACAACUCAA